UCUGGGAAACCAAUAGUGGGCCUGGCCAGAGUACGUCACGGUGGCCAAUAUUAAAUUGAAGCUUGCUUCAAGUUUGGCUCAAAAUUGUGAAAUUGGUCUUUCUCCCGUGCUUUUUGGGAUUAACACUAUCUCUGCCUCUCGAACUCUGGGGUCACAGGGAUGCACCAAAACACCCAGGUUUUCUUGUGGGAGCAGGAAGUAAAUCAGUUGUCUGUAAAUGAGAGCUGAGGACCGAACCCAGGGCCUUGCGCUUGCUAGGCAAGCGCUCUACCACUGAGCUAAAUCCCCAACCCCCGUUCAUCGUGGCUCUAUUCACACUAGGCAGGACAUAGAAACAGCUUAGAUGCCCACCGGCUGAGGAAUGGACAACAAAAGUGUGGUACCUCUCAGCAAUGAAAUAUUAUUAGCUGUAAAGAACAAUGAAAUUUGGAGGUAACUGAGUAGAACCGGAAGCCAUUAACCAAGUGAGGUUUUGAUUCUUGGGUGUGGCUGAUUGCAUUGAUGUCCCCACAAUGAUGGACCAUAACCUGGAGUUGUGAGCCAAAUAAACUCUUAUUGAAUGUCUAA